rnacentral:rRNA from 1 species
CUCUGUGACUCCUACGGGAGGCAGCAGUGGGGAAUAUUGCACAAUGGGCGCAAGCCUGAUGCAGCAACGCCGUGUGAGUGAAGAAGGUUUCGGAUCGUAAAACUCUGUCCUAAGGGAAGAACAAAUGACGGUACCUUAGGAGGAAGCCCCGGCUAACUACGUGCCAGCAGCCGCGGUAAUACGUAGGGGGCAAGCGUUAUCCGGAAUCACUGGGCGUAAAGGGUGCGUAGGCGGCUUAGCAAGCCAGGGGUGAAAGGCAUUGGCUCAACCAAUGUAAGCCUUUGGAACUGUUAAGCUUGAGUGCAGGAGAGGUAAGUGGAAUUCCUAGUGUAGAGGUGAAAUUCGUAGAUAUUAGGAGGAACACCAGUGGCGAAGGCGACUUACUGGACUGUAACUGACGCUGAUGCACGAAAGCGUGGGUAGCGAACAGGAUUAGAUACCCUGGUAG